GGAGAAAGGGGAUGUGGCGGCUAUGGGGGUGUGGUCGAAGCCGAACGUGAGGCGGAAGACGAAGAUUGUGUGUACGAUUGGCCCGUCGACGAACACUAAGGAGAUGAUAUGGAAGCUGGCGGAGGCGGGGAUGAAUGUGGCGAGGAUGAACAUGUCACACGGGGACCAUGCGUCGCAUCAGAAGGUGAUCGAUCUGGUGAAGGAGUAUAAUGCGGAGAAUAAGGAUAAUGCAAUUGCGAUCAUGCUGGAUACCAAGGGACCUGAGGUUAGAAGUGGCGACUUGCCACAGCCAAUUAACUU
rnacentral:misc_RNA from 1 species